rnacentral:rRNA from 1 species
CUGGCUCAGGACGAACGCUGGCGGCGUGCUUAACACAUGCAAGUCGAACGGAAAGGCCCUGCUUGCAGGGUACUCGAGUGGCGAACGGGUGAGUAACACGUGGGUGAUCUGCCCUGCACUUCGGGAUAAGCCUGGGGAACUGGGUCUAAUACCGGAUAGGAGCCAUUUUUAGUGUGAUGGUUGGAAAGUUUUUUCGGUGUAGGAUGAGCUCGCGGCCUAUCAGCUUGUUGGUGGGGUAAUGGCCUACCAAGGCGGCGACGGGUAGCCGGCCUGAGAGGGUGGACGGCCACAUUGGGACUGAGAUACGGCCCAGACUCCUACGGGAGGCAGCAGUGGGGAAUAUUGCACAAUGGGCGCAAGCCUGAUGCAGCGACGCCGCGUGGGGGAUGACGGCCUUCGGGUUGUAAACUCCUUUCGCUAGGGACGAAGCUUUUUGUGACGGUACCUAGAUAAGAAGCACCGGCUAACUACGUGCCAGCAGCCGCGGUAAUACGUAGGGUGCGAGCGUUGUCCGGAAUUACUGGGCGUAAAGGGCUCGUAGGUGGUUUGUCGCGUCGUCUGUGAAAUUCCGGGGCUUAACUCCGGGCGUGCAGGCGAUACGGGCAUAACUUGAGUACUGUAGGGGUAACUGGAAUUCCUGGUGUAGCGGUGAAAUGCGCAGAUAUCAGGAGGAACACCGAUGGCGAAGGCAGGUUACUGGGCAGUUACUGACGCUGAGGAGCGAAAGCAUGGGUAGCGAACAGGAUUAGAUACCCUGGUAGUCCAUGCCGUAAACGGUGGGCGCUAGGUGUGAGGGUCUUUUCACGACUUUCGUGCCGUAGCUAACGCAUUAAGCGCCCCGCCUGGGGAGUACGGCCGCAAGGCUAAAACUCAAAGG